AAUAUUAGACAAUGGGGGAAACCCUGAUCCAGCCAUGCCGCGUGUGGGAAGAAGGUCUNCGGAUUNUNAAGCACUGUAAGUUGGGNGGAAGGGCGGCAAGCUAAUACCUUGAUGCUUUGACGUUACCAACAGAAUAAGCACCGGCUAACUCUGUGCCAGCAGCCGCGGUAAUACAGAGGGUGAAAGCGUUAAUCGGAAUUACUGGGCGGAAGGCGCGCGUGGGUGGUUCAGUAUGAGGGGUGUGAGAUCCCCGGGCUCAACCUGGGAACUGCUUUCAUAACUGCUGAGCUAGAGUACGUUAGAGGGUAGUGGAAUUUCCUGUGUAGCGGUGAGAUGCGUAGAUAUAUGAAGGAACACCAGUGGCGAAGGCGACUACCUGGACUGAUACAGACACUGAGGUGCGAGAGCGUGGGGAGCAAAC
rnacentral:rRNA from 1 species